CUAAGUUCAGCGGGUAGUCCUACCUGAUUUGAGAUCAAACGUUCAAAAAGCUGUCUUCACUGAGGAGAGACAUUUAUGAGCUCCAGCGAACCUCCAUCACUGAAGGUUAUCCGGUCGGAAAACCACAAGCGUAGAUAGUUAUCACACCUGUGAUGCCACCAAACACUGGCAAGCUGAUCCAUUUGAGAGGAGCCGACCGC
rnacentral:misc_RNA from 1 species